UGUAUCUAAGCUUUAAAGCAGAGAAAAAAAAUAAUAUGAAGUAGAACUCAGAGAAAAGAGCCGUUUAAAAGACAAACUCCAAUCCCCAUCACUACUACUACUGUGAAAAGUGCAAGUAGUCGACGCGGGUAAUUUAUCUCGGUCUUCUAAGGAAAAUCUGCACAUUACCGGUUUAAAGUGAAACAGAGAUGAAAACGGAAGAUUUUCUAAGGACAGGAACUGCCCAGGAAUUUUCAGCAGUUCUUAAACUCUAUGAUGAAGCCAUCAAGAUAAAGGGCUCCCAGAAGAAGAGGCAAAUGAAAGAUGGCUUGAAGCAGCUAGACAA